UACGUAGGGGGCGAGCGAUGUCCGGAUUUAUUGGGCGUAAAGAGCUCGUAGGCGGUUCAACAAGUCGGUCGUGAAAGUUCAGGGCUCAACCCUGAAAUGUCGAUCGAUACUGUUGUGACUAGGAUACGGUAGAGGUGAGUGGAAUUCCGAGUGUAUCGGUGAAAUGCGUAGAUAUUCGGAGGAACACCAAUUGCGAAGGCAGCUCACUGGGCCGCUAUCGACGCUGAGGAGCGAAAGCUAGGGUAGCAAACAGGAUUAGAUACCCUGGUAGUCCUAGCUGUAAACGAUGGAUACUAUACGUAGGAACUGGAUUGACGGUUUCUGUGUCGUAGCUAACGCGUUAAGUAUCCCGCCUGGGGAGUACGGUCGCAAGACUAAAACUCAAAGGAAUUGACGGGACCCCGCACAAGCGGCGGAGCAUGCGGCUUAAUUCGAUGAUACCCGUAGAACCUUACCUGGACUUGACAUAUAGGGUCUAGCUAUAGAGAUAUAGUGUGCAUUAGCGCCCUAUACAGGUGGUGCAUGGCGGUCGUCAGCUCGUGUCGUGAGAUGUUGGGUUAAGUCCCGCAACGAGCGCAACCCCUAUCCUAUGUUUCCAGCAUUUAGUUGGGGACUCAUAGGAGACUGCCGGUGAUAAACCGGAGGAAGGUGGGGACGACGUCAAGUCAUCAUGCCCCUUAUGUCCAGGGCUGCACGCAUGCUACAAUGGCAAGUACAACGAGUCGCAAUACCGCGAGGUGGAGCAAAUCUCUUAAAGCUUGUCUCAGUUCGGAUAGGAGUCUGCAACUCGACUCCUUGAAGUUGGAGUCGCUAGUAAUCGCAAAUCAGCAAAGUUGCGGUGAAUACGUUCUCGGGGUU
rnacentral:rRNA from 1 species